UAAGGUUAAGUUUUUUUUUUUAUAAACAAUAUCCCCUCGGGUUUGAUAGGAAUUGAAGGUACUCACACCCAACAAAUAGAGUCCAAACAAAGGAUUGGAUGCGGGGAAGAGUCAAUAUGACAUCGUACUGUCCUGUCAAAGUCAAAAACUACAAGAACACAUAUUUUGGACCCGUUAAUUUUUGGUCCCCUAAGACGAAG